AGAAAUCGGGAUUAAUACCCCAUACAAUUACGAUGAGACAUCUCAUUGUAAUGAAAGCUCCGGCGGUCUUAGAUGGGCAUGCGCGACAUUAGCUAGUUGGUGAGGUAACGGCUCACCAAGGCUCCGAUGUCUAGGGGUUCUGAGAGGAUUCACCCCCACACUGGUACUGAGACACGGACCAGACUCCUACGGGAGGCAGCAGUAAGGAAUAUUGGUCAAUGGACGCAAGUCUGAACCAGCCAUGCCGCGUGCAGGAAGACAGCCCUACGGGUUGUAAACUGCUUUUGUACGGGAAAAAACCUCCGGUCGUGCACCGGAGCUGAUGGUACCGUAAGAAUAAGCAUCGGCUAACUCCGUGCCAGCAGCCGCGGUAAUACGGAGGAUGCAAGCGUUAUCCGGAUUCAUUGGGUUUAAAGGGUGCGCAGGCGGAAUGAUAAGUCAGUGGUGAAAUCCUACGGCUCAACCGUAGAACUGCCAUUGAUACUGUCGU
rnacentral:rRNA from 1 species